GGGCUUGUACUGGUUUCGACAGGGAUCUCGAAGAUGGAGAAGCUAUCCGUAGGCUGAUGCGUCAAAUCGCAAACUUAAAAUUAAACGCUAACGAUAAUUUCGAAUUAGCUGCAGCCUAAAUGCUGCAUGUCAGCCCUGAAGCACUCACACUUUAGGAAUCUGGCACCGACUAUGUGAGAAACGAUGACGGCAAAGCUUUGAGCUGUCAGGCGUAUUAUGAAGCUACUGAACCCGUAAGGAUGUUAGUUUUCGUACGGCAGAGGGAAUGUCAAAUAACUGACUAUGAUAGUAGAAGUACAUGGGACAGGUUUUUGGACGCGGGUUCGAUUCCCGCCAGGUCCACUU
rnacentral:tmRNA from 2 species